GCCAUACCUACCAACAAACAUUGAUACACACACACUCAUUGUUCAUUUUCCAAAGGGGAUACUUUCAAUGCACCACUGCUAAACAGGAGUUUUAUUGUCUCAGAGACAAAAAGUCAGGACAGAAUGGCCGUUUCACGUCUGCUCCUAGCUCUGUGCUUGAUCGCUGCUAUCCUCCCAAUGGCGGAAGCGCAAUUCAUUGAAGAAUUGUUGUGCUUUCUCGUACAACUCAUCGAUAGCAUCUCAGGUUGCGCGACACAAGACACUCCCUUCUGCAGCAUAGUCGACUCAAUUAUUGAUCCUCUUUGUCCAGGAUCUUCCAACUAAACGUACUGAGGUGCCACAGAAGUAAACUGUCCAGACAGCUUGACAACUGAGAGAAAAGAGCCUGGGCCCAAGCACCACCUGCAAAAUUAAUUGAGUAUCACUGACAAAUUUUAGAGUUUUGAUUUGAUUCAUGGUUUCGUCUCUGCGAUCCUUUUAUAUCACAUCAAUUUCAGUGGUGACAAAAUCGAUAGUAUCGAUUCAAGCAAUGAGACGAAGCUCACAUUUGCCACUUUCGUGAACACCUUUCUCCGUGGCAUCAGGGUCUACUGGAUGUUUUGCAAUUUAAGUUACAGCUGGUUCUGUUCUUUUCUGUGGUUGUUUUAUUUGGUUCCUUUUCGCUGUUUUCUUCUUUCUCUUAGCGUCGCUGUUCUAAAAGAGGGACUUCGGAUAAUUUAAUUUUCUCCUAGGAUAUACCAACGAAUGAAUUAAAUGUAUGUAAAUGCAAUUGUGGAAAUAAAAGCAGACGUUUGAUCUUACAAUACUGAUGA